rfam:Cavia porcellus supercont2_81 genomic scaffold, whole genome shotgun sequence.
GGGGAUUUAGCUCAGCGGCAUAAGCGCCUGCCUUGAAAGCAGGCAGUUGUGAGUUCGAUCCCCG